AAGUCUCGUUUACGCUUUCGGUUACUGGGCUAUAGCGAACCCGUAGAGUGGCACCGAGAGUUGCGCCUAACCUUCCCGCCUCCACGCGCUCCCUGCCACUCUCUGGGCGAAAAUCGCCCCAGACGGAAGCAUUGCCGCCCCAAUCGACGGAAUGCCCGCCGCCCGGAUCAUCGUUCCGUGUCGGACGCUGAAAUGUAACGCGGGUAUCAAGUCUCCCUGCGGCCAUUAUUCAAUCCGGAUUGCCGCAACAGUUACUGUGGUCACAGAGGAAUAGGUCACAGCGACCCUAUUACUAUCCGACGCAUUGCGGAAA
rnacentral:misc_RNA from 1 species